GGAUCCACUGCUUGACUUACUUUUUCAGAAAUUGUGACAACUCCUAACCCCACAGAGCACAUGAAAAGAAAAACAUACCAGAAAAAGCUCCAUGCAUUCUGUGCAGUCUUAUCUUUUCAAAAAGCUGAGGCGCCCAAACGCUUCCAUCGCGAGGUGACGGAUCGAGUAAGUCAGCUCAGCAGGCUGCACACCCGACAGGAAGGACCCACAGAGACAGCAGGGAGGGCCUCUGCAAGUCAAGUCUGGAUGUACUGUCGACAUAGAUGGUGGAAAAACAAUAAAUACCCAUGAAUUUUAAAGCAGUUUUAGUUCCACAAGUUUGUUUUUUAUGAACAAAUGCACUCAAUAAUCAAGAAUU
rnacentral:lncRNA from 1 species